UAAGAGAUGGCUGAGUAGUAAGCACUGGAGUGAAGGCCCAGACACGGUUUGUAACCUCUCUUUG
rnacentral:tRNA from 1 species